rnacentral:tmRNA from 1 species
GGGGACGACAGGUUUCGACGGGGAUUUUGAGCUUAGUUGGGCGUGGCAGAGAGUCUGACUCUUUAAACAGGCAAACAAUAGUCGCAGAACACGACGAAUAUUUACUCGCUGCUUAAUUAGCGGCGGUCGCUCAUAGCGGCGGCGUCCGGGGUGGCGCUGUGAGUGUUUACAAACUCGGGCAUCCGAUGAGGUUUUGAUACUUUUCCGCUUCGGAUUAUCAUAAGGUAUACUGGGUAAAAUUGGCCGGCCGGAGAGCCUGUUUUAUCCGAAAUCAAUCGCCGGCUAGGUUACGUAGAACAACUUUGUGACGGAUCUUCGGACGCGGGUUCGAUUCCCGCCGUCUCCA